rnacentral:sRNA from 1 species
GUACCAUUCAGUCUACCUGGCCAUGUUAUUUCACUAUCACAACACCACUAACAUGGUCCCGAUUUCCCUGGUGUUGGCGCAGUAUUCGCGCACCCCGGUAUAGCC